AUGCUGAAAGAAAUGGUGCUUGACAACAACUUAUUACAUGGACAACUGAGCCCUGCAAUUGCUCAGUUGCAGCAUCUCACCAAGCUGUCCAUAUCCGGGAAUUCCAUCUCUGGUGGCAUUCCUACAGAGUUGGGCAGUCUGCAGAACCUAGAGUUCCUGGACCUUCACAUGAACAGCCGAAAUGGAUCAAUACCAGCAGCUUUUCGUAAUCUGUCUCAGCUGUUGCAUCUUGAUCUAAGCCAGAAUAACCUCAGUGGAUUAAUAUUUUCUGGAAUAAGCUCGUUGGUGAACCUUAUGUCACUUGAUCUGUCCUCAAACAAUUUUGUGGGGCCAAUACCUAGGGAGAUUGGUCAAUUGGAAAACCUUCGACUGCUGAUUUUGGGCCAAAAUGCGUUCACCGCUAGCAUUCCAGAAGAAAUUGGUAAUCUGAAGCGGCUUCAAGUACUUCUGCUCCCUGAACGCAAACUCACAGGCACCAUCCCUUGGUCAAUCAGCGGUCUUGUAAUUCUGGAGGAAUUUGACAUAUCAGAGAACCACUUCGAUGCUGAACUCCCAACAUCAAUCGGUCUGCUUGGUAAUCUGACACAGCUGAUUGCGAAGAAUGCAGGGCUCAGGGGGAGCAUACCGAAAGAACUAAGUAACUGCAAGAAGAUUGCUCUCAUAAAUCUGUCAUUUAAUGACUUCACUGCUCCAUCCCUGAAGAACUUGCAGAACUGGAAACUGUUGUCUCUUUUUCUGUGGAAGGGAACAAACUAUCAGGCAAUAUUCCAGAUUGGAUAA
rnacentral:rRNA from 1 species